CCGCCCGAGUACUACGAGCACUAGCUUAAAACUCAAAGGACUUGGCGGUGCUCCAGACCCACCUAGAGGAGCCUGUUCUAGAACCGAUAAUCCCCGUUCAACCUCACCAUCCCUUGUUUUCUCCCGCCUAUAUACCGCCGUCGCCAGCUUACCCUGCAAAGGCUAAAUAGUAAGCAAAACGGGCACAGCCCAAAACGUCAGGCCGAGGUGUAGCGCACGAGAUGGGAAGAAAUGGGCUACAUUUUCUAUAAUAGAAUAUUCUACAAACGGCGCCCUGAAACACGCGCCCGAAGGUGGAUUUAGUAGUAAAAAGCAAAUAGAGAGUCCUUUU
rnacentral:rRNA from 1 species